rnacentral:ncRNA from 1 species
CUUAUCAAGAGUGGUGGAGGGAACGGCCCGAUGAAGCCCGGCAACCUGCGUUCCGCAAGGUGCCAAAUCCGGCGGUAGUGUAUCGAAAGAUGAGG